UACGUAGGUGACAAGCGUUGUCCGGAUUUACUGGGUGUAAAGGGCGCGUAGGCGGGAUAGCAAGUCAGUCGUGAAAUGCCGAGGCUUAACCUCGGAGCUGCGAUUGAAACUGUUAUUCUUGAGUAUCGGAGAGGAAAGCGGAAUUCCUAGUGUAGCGGUGAAAUGCGUAGAUAUUAGGAGGAACACCAGUGGCGAAGGCGGCCUACUGGGCUUUAACUGACGCUGAGGCACGAAAGCGUGGGUAGCAAACAGG
rnacentral:rRNA from 1 species